rnacentral:siRNA from 1 species
UCUAAUUCGUUCGAGUCAUUU